AAAGAAAGAGAAGGAAAGAAAGAAAGAAGGAAAGAGAAAGAAAGAAAGAGAAAGAAGAGAGAGGGAGAGCGAGAAAGAAAGAAGGAAAGAAAGAAGGAAAGGAAAGAAAGAAAGAAAGAAAGAAAGAAAGAAAGAAAGAAAGAAAGAAAGAAAGAAGGAAGGAAAAGAAACACAUGGAAAGUGACAGGCUUCCUUUGUAUAUCACCUUGCAUGGUAAAGUGCAGAGAGCUCCAUCAGAGAAAUGCAGUUAAAAUCCAGUAGAUACCACCGUACACCUGAAAGACUUGUGAACAAACAGAUGACAGAAAAACAAAACAAAGCAAAACAGAACCUGAGA
rnacentral:lncRNA from 1 species